UACAGAGGUCCCGAGCGUUGUUCGGAUUCAUUGGGCCUAAAGCAUCCGUAGCCGGUUCUACAAGUCUUCCGUUAAAUCCAACUGCUUAACAGGUGGGCUGCGGAAGAUACUAUAGAGCUAGGAGGCGGGAGAGGCAAGCGGUACUCGAUGGGUAGGGGUAAAAUCCGUUGAUCCAUUGAAGACCACCAGUGGCGAAGGCGGCUUGCCAGAACGCGCUCGACGGUGAGGGAUGAAAGCUGGGGGAGCAAACCGG
rnacentral:rRNA from 1 species